CCAAUUGCUUUUUAAUAUUUUUUGGUGUAUAAUACCUUCGUCCUUGUUGGACUAUGGUGAUAAACGUUAUGAUAAAUAGGCGACGUGGACUCGGGGGCGGAGCCCGACAUCUCCACCAUGAGGGGAUGAAUAGGUUCGACACGCGUUGAAAAACAUAAUUUUUACCCGGGGCGGUUUACGUUAUCAAACCAAAAUUAUAAAUGCGAACGCUGAAUUGCGCGCAUGCAACGAUAAUUGGCAGGAAGAGCAAAUGCGGAUUGCUGCCUAAUUGAGUGGACGCGGUUUAGGGGAGCCGGGCAACAGAAAUCCCCUGCU
rnacentral:tmRNA from 1 species